GAUGAACGCUGGCGGCGUGCCUAAUACAUGCAAGUCGAGCGAACGGACGAGAAGCUUGCUUCUCUGAUGUUAGCGGCGGACGGGUGAGUAACACGUGGAUAACCUACCUAUAAGACUGGGAUAACUUCGGGAAACCGUAGCUAAUACCGGAUAAUAUUUUGAACCGCAUGGUUCAAAAGUGAAAGACGGUCUUGCUGUCACUUAUAGAUGGAUUCGCGCUGCAUUAGCUAGUUGGUAAGGUAACGGCUUACCAAGGCAACGAUGCAUAGCCGACCUGAGAGGGUGAUCGGCCACACUGGAACUGAGACACGGUCCAGACUCCUACGGGAGGCAGCAGUAGGGAAUCUUCCGCAAAGGGCGAAAGCCUGACGGAGCAACGCCGCGUGAGUGAUGAAGGUCUUCGGAUCGUAAAACUCUGUUAUUAGGGAAGAACAUAUGUGUAAGUAACUGUGCACAUCUUGACGGUACCUAAUCAGAAAGCCACGGCUAACUACGUG
rnacentral:rRNA from 1 species